UAUAUAAAGCAAUAAAGAAAUAUAUAAAGUGAGAAAUUAAAAUGGUGUUAGACUGUUAGUAAUCUACAAAUGUCGAUGUUCGACGGGUGAUAAUUCACGGCAGGAGGUAAAAGGCAUUUGGAAAAUGAUUCCUUAGAAGGGUUAUCUAAACAACCAGCUUUAAUGCUGUUUGUGUGGUAAAUCACUAGUUCGUGAUUCAAGGAGCCGGAUCGAGCCUUGGUAUGUUAAAGGAUUGAACAUAUGUUUAUAACUCAUUUCGAAUGUACAAAUUAUGAGUUAUUUAAAUAUGUUUUGGUUAUGUAAACUUACUCAACUUAUCAGAUAAAUAUAUAAUGUGAAUCUUA
rnacentral:lncRNA from 1 species